AUUGAACGCUGGCGGCAUGCCUUACACAUGCAAGUCGAACGGCAGCACGGGGCAACCUGGUGGCGAGUGGCGAACGGGUGAGUAAUGCAUCGGAACGUACCUUUCAGUGUGGGAUAACGUAGCGAAAGUUACGCUAAUACCGCAUAUUCUGUGAGCAAGAAAGCAGGGGAUCGCAAGACCUUGCGCUGAUUGAGCGGCCGAUGUCAGAUUAGCUAGUUGGUGAGGUAAAGGCUCACCAAGGCGACGAUCUGUAGCGGGUCUGAGAGGAUGAUCCGCCACACUGGAACUGAGACACGGUCCAGACUCCUACGGGAGGCAGCAGUGGGGAAUUUUGGACAAUGGGGGCAACCCUGAUCCAGCCAUGCCGCGUGAGUGAAGAAGGCCUUCGGGUUGUAAAGCUCUUUCGGCCGGGAAGAAAUCGCGCAGGUUAAUACCCUGUGUGGAUGACGGUACCGGAAUAAGAAGCACCGGCUAACUACGUGCCAGCAGCCGCCGUAAAAC
rnacentral:rRNA from 1 species